rnacentral:RNase_MRP_RNA from 2 species
UCCUCGUUCAAAGGAUCGCAGUCGAAGCACACAAACGGAGCAGACCUCGUGUCUCUCAGCCCUUCAUGGGCUAAUCAAUGCUUUGGGAGAAAGUCCCCGGACGACCUUUUACCUCGUGUACAAAGGAACGCGGAAACGCGCCGCCAUAGAAGCACUGCGGCUUCUUAUUUCUCCUCUCCUUCCUACACUUAGGCCGACCUUCGUCGCUGCUUGUACUCGCUUUCUGCGCAUUUGAUUGCUGCGGCUGGAGGAUGGGGAGACCAUAUGGAUGAAGAUAUGAGUCCGAGCUCUCCUGAUCCAGCUGCGGUAGAGCAUAUGCAACGACUUCGGGGAGGCGGGGAAGUACUCUCGGUCUGGGUUAGGGCUCAUGGGAGAGGGGAGGCUUUCGUCGAGAGUGAUAGUUAUGCGAUUGCUCCCUUGGCCUGCCUCACGGUUGGUCCUGGGGGGUAACUCGAUGGGGCUUAUUCUUGAGACGAGG